rnacentral:rRNA from 1 species
UGGGGAAUAUUGCACAAUGGGCGCAAGCCUGAUGCAGCCAUGCCGCGUGUGUGAAGAAGGCCUUCGGGUUGUAAAGCACUUUCAGCGAGGAGGAAGGGUAGUGUGUUAAUAGCACAUUGCAUUGACGUUACUCGCAGAAGAAGCACCGGCUAACUCCGUGCCAGCAGCCGCGGUAAUACGGAGGGUGCAAGCGUUAAUCGGAAUUACUGGGCGUAAAGCGCACGCAGGCGGUUUGUUAAGUCAGAUGUGAAAUCCCCGCGCUUAACGUGGGAACUGCAUUUGAAACUGGCAAGCUAGAGUCUUGUAGAGGGGGGUAGAAUUCCAGGUGUAGCGGUGAAAUGCGUAGAGAUCUGGAGGAAUACCGGUGGCGAAGGCGGCCCCCCUGGACAAAGACUGACGCUCAGGUGCGAAAGCGUGGGG